rnacentral:rRNA from 1 species
GAUGAACGCUGGCGGCGUGCCUAAUACAUGCAAGUCGAGCUAACAGAUGAGGAGCUUGCUCCUCUGACGUUAGCGGCGGACGGGUGAGUAACACGUGGAUAACCUACCUAUAAGACUGGGAUAACUUCGGGAAACCGGAGCUAAUACCGGAUAAUAUAUUGAACCGCAUGGUUCAAUAGUGAAAGACGGUUUUGCUGUCACUUAUAGAUGGAUCCGCGCCGCAUUAGCUAGUUGGUAAGGUAACGGCUUACCAAGGCAACGAUGCGUAGCCGACCUGAGAGGGUGAUCAGUCACACUGGAACUGAGACACGGUCCAGACUCCUACGGGAGGCAGCAGUAGGGAAUCUUCCGCAAUGGGCGAAAGCCUGACGGAGCAACGCCGCGUGAGUGAUGAAGGUCUUCGGAUCGUAAAACUCUGUUAUUAGGGAAGAACAAAUGUGUAAGUAACUAUGCACGUCUUGACGGUACCUAAUCAGAAAGCCACGGCUAACUUCGUG